rnacentral:rRNA from 1 species
UGAUUCGGCCCCCAUUGGAAAUUGAAACCCGGUUCCAAAAUUCUUACGGGAGGCAACCAGUGGGGAAUUUUUGCCCAAUGGGGGAAAACCCUGAUGGCAGCAACGCCCGCUUGAAUGAAGAAAGGCCUUUAGGGUUGUAAAAUUUCUGUCCUCAAGGGAAGAUAAAUGACGGUACCUUUAUGAGGGAAGCCCCCGGCUAAAUUACGUGCCCAGCAGCCGGCGGUAAUACGUAGGGGGGCAAGCGUUAUCCCGGAUUUACUUGGGCGUAAAGGAUGCGUAGGUGGUCUUUUAAGUCAGGUGUGAAAUACCCCGGGCUCAACUGGAGUGAGGUAUUGAAAAUUGGGAAUUUGAAUUCCAGAAAAGAAAAGGGAAUUUCUUAUGGUACCGUGAAAUUGGUUAGUGUUUGGGAGGACCACCAUUGCCAAGGGGGCUUUUUUGGAUGUUAAUGGCCGUUGAGCCAGAAAACGUUGGGGACCAACCAGGUUUGGAUACCUUGUUAUUCCACCCGUUAAAGAAUGAAUAUUAGGUGUAGGAGUUAUCCCCCCCUUUUCUGCAGCAGUUACCUCAAGAAGUAUUCCUCGUGAGGACUAUGAUCAGAAGAUUACUCCUCAGAGUAAUUGAGGGGCCCCACAACAAGCAGAGCAUCUUGUGAUUUAAUUAGAAGCAAGAAGAACAUACCUUACAUAGAGACAUACAUUCCCAUGAAUUCCUAGUAAUGAUGUUGAACCCUUUGGGGGGCAGAGGAGACAGGUGGUGCAUGGUUGUCGUCAGCUCGUGUCGUGAGAUGUUGGGUUAAGUCCCGCAACGAGCGCAACCCUUACCUUUAGUUGCUACCAUUAAGUUGGGCACUCUAGUGAGACUGCCAGGGUUAACCGGGAGGAAGGUGGGGAUGACGUCAAAUCAUCAUGCCCCUUAUGUUUAGGGCUACACACGUGCUACAAUGGGUGGUACAGUGAGAAGCAAUGUCGUGAGGUGGAGCUAAUCCUAUAAAACCAAUCUCAGUUCGGAUUGUAGGCUGAAACUCGCCUACAUGAAGCCGG